UAGUUUUAUGUAACCCCACCACUGGGUUAUUUUCUGGGUAAUUUUCACUGAGAGUGGAAUCAAUACACCCCCUUCCCCACCCGGACUCAACAACCCAGCUCAUUGGGUCAAAUCAACUCGGCGCAGAUUCAGGUGCAGCACACGGGCUGACUGAAUUUGAGGUGGAUGCAAAGCACACUGAUAUUUGGAGAAAUAAGGUUCGUAUCAACAUAUUUAUUCAUAUAACAUAUAUUUUUAAACCUAUUUAUACACGUAUCAUAAUACCGAGGGCUAUAUAAAGACGUAAGUGCCAUUACAUUCAGUUUUACAUGGCAUUAAAUACGCCGCCAGCUUCGUUCGUUUAGGUUGGCUUGUUUGAUAUGCCCGUUGGAUAGUAAAUACGUUUUCUACUGUUUUUGUUUAAUGUUUUAAACGUCCCCUUUGGACAAAGCCUUAAGUUUUUUUCUUAACUAACGUUAUAUGACGACAUUUACAUUACUUCAAAGCCCAGUUAACUGUUAACUUAAAACGAGAUUAAUAUAAGUUAAAGUAAAUGCAUUCUUUGCUUUUUCAGAUUAUUAAAAUGAGAUUUUUGACAAUUACAGCCCGUAACAAAUCUCUGGUAAUUAAUUUCUGAAAACCAUUUUUUGUACACGAACAGUUAAAGCAGCCCAUCCCCCGCUGUACAGCAGUGCUGCUGGGUCAAAACAACCCAAUUGCUGGAUCAUCUGUCGCAGGGAUUUUGGAUCGUCAGAAGGAGAAAUGCAGCAGGACUUUACAAGCAGACAUUCUUCAGCGGUUCUUUCCUGGUGAAAUAAAGGUGGUCUGAGUUUCCAUUAGUUUCCUCGGCUAACUACCCCAGGCAUGAUUGCACAAGACUUUUACACAUUACACCAGGAUGCAGCUCCAAAACUCUUCGAGAAAUGGCUCCCUUGAUAUACCGAUAGGAUCUUGCAAAGCUUCCAUGUUCAGUUGAGGAGAUGACACAAGAUGCAAACGGAUAUCUUGCAUUAAAGCUGCUCCCUGUUUUGCUUCCACCUCCACCCUUCAAAACUGCCAGAAAAAGUCCGGCCCAGCAUUGAUGAUGGCAAAAAAGCUUUCAUCGACAUUCAGCCUGUUGGAACAUAUGAUGGAGUACCUCCAGAAGGCUGAAGCAUCAGGACUUAACCCUUAUUUCCUGUCACUUGAAAAUGGACACAUGAGUCCCAGGCAUUCGUCAUCCUUGGAGGAGAAACUUUGGACAAGGCACUUAGAUUGGGGUAGUAGAAGCACUACAUUCUUGCAAGUAAAUGACAAGAGGUUUUUUGAAUAGACUGGGUUUCAGGUACAAGAGUUAUCAUUUUAGUUUUUUUUACAGACUUAAAGGUGCUCUAAGCGAAUCUGUGUGAUGUUACUUUUUGUUGAUGUUUGAACUGUUUUCAAACAAACGGAGCGAAGCUAACUCCUCCCCUCCUUUCCGUUCUUUCAUGAACGCGUCAAACCCUCAACCCCAAAUCCUUCUUGUCGUUAAUUGGCUGGAACACUUUGUUAUCCUUUCUGGUAGUAGGUUUGGCCACUUUGUUUUUAUUGCAGUUUGUGGAGCCUAGGCUGUCUACAGAGAUCACAUUUUUUACAGUUUGAUCAGCAGACAGGCAGCAAGCAGAUAGUGAGGAGAUGUUUGUUGUAUGUAACAAAAAAUGUUUUAUGGUCUAAAAUGCGUGAAUUCGCUUAGAGCACCUUUAAGGAAGAGUAUUACUUGAUGAAUAUUAAUGACAUGUUUAUGAAAUGUUACACUGGCAAAAUGCUGUCAACAUUUCAUAGUUUUUUUUUGUGUGUGUUCAUAAUGUAGACUAAAACAAUACUGCUUUGUAACAAACAGUUGUUCUUAAAGGUAUUUUAUGAAUUUCAUGAUUUUUUUUUUAAAUGUUAAAACAUAUAGGGGCGGUUUCACAGACAAGGAUAAGACUAGUCCUAGAAUAAAGUAAAUGUAAGAGCUGUCCACAGCAAAAUCCCCGGUGUUAAAUAAACACUGUGGGUGUAUAUAUAAUCCACUCCCAGAUGGGUGUGUAUAAAGACUGGUGUUAAAAUUUAACACUGAAGCAGUGUUAAAGUUAAUGAGAUAAUUAAGUGAUGAUUAAGACAUUAAUGGUGAACAC